rnacentral:misc_RNA from 1 species
GGCUUGCUUUUAGAAAUGCCAUCCCCUUCACUCUUUUUAGAUGUCUGCACUCAAAAUAAUUAUGAUUGCCUUUGCGGUUUUGCCCUUAUCCUUGUCUGAGGAUUCAUCAGAAGCAUCACUUGAUUCUCAAACGCUGUCUUUCUUUCUCUACUGUGACUGUGAGUCUAUAGCCAUCACCAAUAAUCAACACCACCAGCCUUAAGAAUUCCCGACUGAAUCUUUGUAGCUCUCCAGAGACCUCGAGCUCGACUGAUUCAACCAUCUACACCGGCGGUUGUUUCCAAAAAGGUCUAAUUCAACCAAUAAAUCGUAUUCAUCGGUGAUUGAACCACCUUCAC